AUGUUGAAAUAUUGGCUCCCAUUUGAUCACUGAAGUUAAGCAACAUCAAGCCUGGCCAGUACCUAGAUGGGUGACUGCUUGGGAAAACCAGAUGCUGUAAG